CAGUCGCCACGGUAACACGAAGGGGGCUAGCGUUGUUCGGAAUUACUGGGCGUAAAGGGCGCGUAGGCGGCCAUUCAAGUUAGAUGUGAAAGCCCUGGGCUCAACCUAGGAAUUGCAUUUGAUACUGUUUGGCUUGAGUUCGGGAGAGGUGAGUGGAAUUCCCAGUGUAGAGGUGAAAUUCGUAGAUAUUGGGAAGAACACCAGUGGCGAAGGCGGCUCACUGGACCGACACUGACGCUGAGGCGCGAAAGCGUGGGGAGCAAACAGGAUUAGAUACCCCAGUAGUCCCUGUCUCUUAUAC
rnacentral:rRNA from 1 species